GUUGUUUGCAUAGGAAUGAAUAUUUUAAUUUUUGACCGGGUUCUGGGAAACUUCUAACUUAUAUUCUAUCCAUUACCUACUUGUACAGGUAUUGCAAUAUUGAUAUAUCACCUGUGAUAUGUAGUUCUUUCUGUCUAUUUUUUUCAAAAAGGUAGGGGCAAAUUUGCAGAUGCGAAAUAAUCAUCACUAUUGUAUUAUUUAUUAUCACGCAUAAUUCUCUAUGACGGCGAAUGUUGCAUGCACAGACCUACACAUAAAUAACUGCAUUAAAAGCUAUGCAAAAGUAUUGAUUAUUGUUGUUCGCGACUGUUCUAUAUUUGCCGCAGAAUCUAGAAUGUGAAAGCUGAGAUUUGGCGGUAACAUAUGUCGAAUAAAUAUUAUUCCUCGAUUAUUUAAAAAUAAUUCGUGUAGUGACAUAAUGCGCUGUAGAUUGGAGCUUAUUCCAGCUCGGUCACGUGUAGUUAACUAUUUGCGUAGAGUGGCAAAAUCAACAAUGUAGUGUAAAACAAUUUCAAUUAACAAUCAAACACCUUAUAGCAUAUAUAGGUUUGGCAAUAAUCUUCUUUAAACCGCGUGGUUUAUCACUUAUUCCUACGCAGAAUAAUGCGAUUUAUCUAAUACCUUUUAAUAUUGCAUGCAAAAGUCAGGAACAACAAAAUUUUGGAAAUCAGUAAUUCAAUUUGAUUGAAUUGGAACAUCGAUCAAUUUAUCUAGUAAUCCAUUCAAUAAUUUUUCCAUUUAUUUACAAAUAAAGCCUGGGGCGCAUUAUAUUUAUUAAACUAUUCACAUCAAUCUAAAUAAAUAAUUUGCAAGUGCAAGGAAAAUUCGAAAGUCCCAUCAAGACUAACUAUUUCGAUUGUUCUUCAUUUUAAUAUGAUCAUUAUUUGAAAGUGUUAAAUAAACAGAUUUUUUCUGAACCAGUUCAAUGGAAAGUUACUGAUGUAUUUUGUCACUCUGCUCGAAUCAAAAAAAUUUUGCUUCGAUUUUUCGAAGCCGAUUGACUUAAUUUUCGAAAGACUGGUUAGUGGGAGGAUAUUAGUAACAUAUAAUGUAAUUUUUAAGAAAACUAUUUUGCUUGUUAGAUUGUUUAGUAUAGUAUAGGUUAUCUUAAUAUAUGAGAAUCUAAAUAAUAUAUUCUAAAUAUUCAGAUGAUAUCGAAAGAAGACACAGAAAUUUUAAUGUAUCUACUUAGAUUAGAGUAAUUUUAUUGUAACAAGUAAUAUUUUUGUUUUGUAAAUAGUUGAUUUUCAAAAUUUACGUAACUCGAAUCAGUCAGUUCACAAUACGCAGUGGCCUGCUUUGUAAAUUUAUAAAAUAAAACAACCAAAAUGUUGCUAAUUACAAUAGACGCACAGAUGGGGGCAAUAUUUAUGUUUGGUAAUUACUGCCCUACACUUAUUUUUUAUAAACACAUUCCCUGUUGUGCAGUAAGAGAAGCACUCUUUAUACUGUGUUUGUAUUUUAGGAGUGUUUCUCGUUUUUUACAAUUUUAUUGGAAAAAAAUAUUUAAAAAUAAUUGAAACAUCUGUUGAAAUAAGUUUUGUUGCGACUUAGUAAUCUGGUACCAAUAAUUGUAAUAUUUAUAAAAAAUUAUGUUUCAUAGUUAUUUCUAGCAAAUAAUGUAUACUGUAUACUAUAUCAAAUAUCUUGGUCAACUAAAUAAAACAGCUGCGAUAUACUUAACAUUUUGUUUGCUAUUUUUGUCUGCAAUAAAUUAUAAUUAUAUGUUCCGAUAAGUGUGUUUUAUUUGUUUGUUCCCAAUGAUUCACUGUCUUUCACAGCUAAUUUUAUUCAACAAAUGAUAUUAAACAAUGUGAAUUAACAGUUUCUCCAAACAGCGCUUAGAUUCACAUCUUUUAAAUUGGUCUCAACUGUUUGAAAGAUGAAUGGUUUCUGAAUUAUUACAGUUUCUUAAGGUUGUUGCGUGAGUUGAGUGAGUACAACUUAAUUAAAAUAAAUGUCUUAAAGCUUGUGUAUUUGAUGAUUUUUUAUAACAUAAUUAAUAUGCUUAAUUUCUCAAUCUUUAUACUGAUCUGAUGAACUGUUUCAACUAUUUUGAAAUGUUAUUUUUAAAUAUAAAUAUUCAGAAUUCAUUAAAACUGAAUAAAUAUAGUGUUAUAUUUAGAUAUAUCAAUUGGGAAUAAAUAUUUAUAGUAUUCUUUAUUUGGCGUUUAUUGAUAAUAAAAAUUAUGUGUUUCUAAUCAUCGAAAUUUCCAUAACAAGUCUCAAAAUUAAAUUAGUAUUUUUCACUUUUAAAAUGCUGGUGGUACAGUUGGUUUCCUUGCAUUUACUUCCGAGUUUCCAACAUUUACUUUCCAUUGCAUCAUUAAUUUAUUCAUAAAAGUUUUGUACUGAGAAUUUGAGAAGUAACGUAAUUCUCAUCUGAACUGAAUUCGCGUAGAUAAAAAAUGUUUCUUCGCUUCCUUAUUGUUAAUUCAAUGGUUUCGUAUAAAUUAAAUUAAACACACUGAAUUCGUUUUUUUGCAGUGGAAAAUCUUUAAGCUGGAAUUCUCGUUUAAUAAGCUUGAAUUGUACAUAGACAAAUUGUACAGUAUGUGUUUAUGCUUUUCUGUUUUUUUAAUAUAUAAAGUUAUUAUCAAUCACUAGGCGCGUUCUGAACACUGUACCUGUAGUCUCAUCAGGAUUCAUGAGCUCAUCAACAUUUUUAUACAUGUGUCACCCGAUACAGUGUAAAUUCUAAAUUUUGGAAAAUUUAUAAUAUUGAUUUCCAUAGUGUCACAUUAGCAAUUUUUUGGUAUAAAGACUUAAGGAUGCUCUUCGCCGUAUCAAUUUUCUGCAUUCAUCCAAAUGAACUGACAUUUGAAAAGCUUGACUGUUGUAGUUCUAGAAAGUUAUGGGAUAUAUGAUAUUAGCGAAAUACACUGUUUGGGCGAAGAAGGAAAUGUCUUAGGUAGGUACGUACCUAAUUAUAUAUUUAUUGAAAUUAAUCCACACGCUAUUUUUUGCCAAGUUGAUCAAAAAGAAAGGAAAUUUUGAAAUACAAUUAGUAAAUUAUACAUCAUAAAUAAAUACUACAUUGCAGCACCAUAAAAGCUAAAAAAAGGGAUGGGAUUUCAAAUUGAAAUGUGGUAUUAAAACCUUCUCUCUUUUGAAUUAGUAGUAAGUAGCUUAUAGUUACUACGAGAACUGAAAUAAGGAUUUUUUAUAAUUUUACGCUAGGUAAUAAAAUAAAAAAGAAGUUUACUAUUAAGUAUGUAGUUGUUAAUGUGUACAAACGUUGAAAUUAAAAAAUAUAGAUACAAUUUAAUGUUUAUGCAAUUGAAAAUAGAACAUUAACAACUUGUUACACCUUGUAGGCUGUUUCGGAUUAAACUUAUCAAAAAAUCUCCAUUUCAAUUUCCUUUUAAAAACUUUCUUUAACAUAUUUUCACAUCAUAAUGACACACCUUGCGUUAACUAACAAUUUACAUAAUUAACAUAUGUGAUGAUAAAAUCAUAGUUAGUAAGAUGUUUGGUCUAUGUUCAUAUGAUUUUGUAUGAUUCAUUGUCAUAUUCGACAUCAGACAGCAUGAUGUCUGGAACUUCAGACACAUAAGCACUUGUUGUGCAAUGUUAUAAAAGGUACAAUUAUUGUUGUUGAAGCCGACGUCACAAUGACUGGAUAUUUCGAAAAUAUUUUUGAAAUUUAUAUGAGCUGAUUGAUGUUGCGUCCUAUCAAAUAAAAAAUUGUUGAUUAUAUAAAAAAAAAUAUAUUAAGCCAGUGGUUGAGAUACAUUUUUAAUUUUCAGUCGUACAAAAACCUACACAUCUUGUGUUACAAUAGAACCUAUAAACAAUUUGAUAAUAAAAAGUUACAAAAUAUCUACAAAUAUUUUUUUAUAGAUAUUAUAAAUACAAUACAGAAUACAGGUUAUGAAAGGUUUACUAAUGUCAAAAUAAAACGAAAUACAUUUAUUAUUAUUAAUAAAAGCAAUUAGUCAGCGAAACUAGGAUUAAAUAUGUUUCCAAGUAAUAAUUAGAUCUGUAACAAAUCGGUUUAUUAUCGAUUAAUUCCAUGAAUUUUAACAAAGAGUAAUGUAAUAAAUAAUAAAUGUACCAACAAUAUAAUCUUAUUAUUAUGCUUAUAAAUAAAAAUACAAUUAAAAGUAAACUCACAAAAAUUAAACCUUUUUAAAACAUGAGUUAAUAGAUGAUACUACGAAAAACUAGUAUUUACAAGCAAUAAUAACAAUAAACAAUAAUCAAUAAUUCAUUAAAUAUAAUAGUUCCAUGGAAGGAAACUACUACUAAAAGAAAGUCUACAAUUACAAUAAGACAUUUUAAGUAAAUUGUAGUAAUUCCUAAAAAAUUGUUGACAUUAUUGCUGUAAUUUCUAUUUAAGUAAAAUAUAACUUUAAAUCCAUCACAGUCACUAUACAAAAAUCCAAUCAAACAGUGUGUUUCUUUGUAAUAAAGUGUAUAUGUAUAUUACUCAAGGGUGUUACAUCGUUUGAAUGGAUGUUCUUCAGUGUUUAACUGAAAAUCUAAAAGGCAACAUUUCCAAAAUAUUUUGUCCUGGUUGUUUUGUUUGGGUUAACCUCAUAAGAGACUCAUUUCAAUAAUAAUUAAACCUCAAAUUUCUGAUCAUAUUAAUCUGUUAAAAAAAUGAACAAAUGUUAGGAGUUUUUUUGUUACAAUUUUAUUGAAAAGCUCUGGGUAUCGUUUUAAGGAUGUUUAAGAUUUCUAAAUUUUUUUGAUAAGUUACAAAUUAAUAAUAAAUACAGACCUGAUUUUAUCAUUUGAUACCCAAUAUACUUUCAAGUCAAGCAGUGAUUUCUGGAAGUUGCCAUUUAUUAACGUUGAUUUAAUACCCUCUAACCAUUUUGCUCCCUUCUUUCCUCCAUCUAUAACUGAAAUUAUCAAAUGGAUGAUUCCAAAUUAAUCUCACUUCUUUUUAUAGGUUUUCGGGAUUACUUGGAACAUUCGAAAACAUAUUUAAUUGCAAAUUUACUUUCUUUCUUUCUCUUUUUUUUCUCUCCAAGUUAUUGUGUGAAACAACAACAAUAAUAAGCAAUAUUUUAAUGUGGUAGUCAUUUGGCGUACUGUGACAAGAAAUAGCGUUUUCAUACAUUUUUGAUAAAAUAGCCACAAUCCUUGGGAACAUUCCCGAAAUUAGUUCUUGUAAAAAAGUGAAAAUUGUUGAUGAAACUGAAAGUUGCAGCCUGGAAGUCACUGUAGUAUUCAUGUAGGUAAUGAGCGAGACCAUUUUGAGUUCAAUACAACAAAAGUAGCACUACUAGAGGCUUGGAAAACAAUUUAAAUGUUUCGAGGAGCUUCAGCUUAUCGGCCUAAAAAUUUUCAUCAAUCUGCAUCAAAUAAUACUUCUAGAGUAGUUCUCUUCUAACCUGUGUUGAUUUACUCAAAUUGAAAACACUUUUGCUAAGUUUAUGAUUUCGUUUAUUGAUUGUGUUGAACAUUCUUUUCUUUCCGCAAACUUUUCUGCAUUUUCUAUAAAUCGGUAUCUUUGUAGAUUGACGUCAAUUUUGUCGGUCUUUAUUUGAAUGUUUAAACAACAGGAAAUCUAAAAUCUAAAAAUACGUGUUUUACAAAUAUGAGAUAUAUAUUAUUGUUAAAAUUUUGAGUCUGCAUUAUAUUGUUAAACAUUAGUCGAAAAUUGAUUAGUUUUGUAAUAGAAACAUUUCGUUGGACACUGGUAAUUAUUGCAGCUCAGAUGGCCUAUAUCAUCAUAUUCAGAUAUUCCAUAGAUUUUUGUAAUUUUAUUGUGGUAAUUCGAAAUCACUAACGUAGAAUAACUAUGAAAACGUUUAAAGAAUUUUGGUAUUUACCAUACAUUUUUAUUUUGUAAAGCAGAUAUCACUACUUUUCUUAUCAGCAGUCACACGAUAUUAUUUAUAAAUUUCACUGAGUCAAUGAGAUAGUAGUGGGCUAUAAAGUGUGGUCACAGCUAGUCUUAACUGGAAGUAAAAAAGUUCAUUAGUAGAUUUGUGUUGUAAAUUAAACAUUGAUAUGGCAUUCAUGAUACCGUACGUAAAACGCAAUUGGGAAAUUUUUCAUGUCGAUCGAGUUGGAAGGCCAGCAAAGCAGGUAGAUGCCGAUAACAACCAUAUAUCAGCAAACAGCAACAUAUUAGCUUCACGAGGCACCAGUUCAAAGACGGCUAAUCAAUCACCAAAGGCAAUCGCAAAGACCUCAACAAAUCACAGAUAAUUACUAUGCUAAGUUGUUAAGACGGAAAUGUAUGUACAUUGUGUUGAACAACAACCAGUGUGAUAUUAAGGAAAGAUCCAUUAAAAAAAGUUAAUGGCAUAAAUCAAUAUUUAUCAAUUAUUAGGACUAAGUUAAAUGUUAGUACAGAUUAAAAUGUUCCUCAGGUGAAGCAAACACGAAAGGCAUGACAUUGUUGGGGAACAGACUUUUCAUGCGUAUUUAAAGUAAAUAAUAUGGAAAUAAAUUAUGUACAAAUAUUGCAAUUAAUAUAAUAAAAAAAAUCAUUAGCAUCUAUAAGAAGUAUAAUGUUAAUAUUAUGGAGUAAAG